AAACAACUCUCAGCAACGGAUAUCUUGGCUCUUGCAACGAUGAAGAACGCAGCGAAAUGCGAUACGUAGUGUGAAUUGCAGAAUUCCGCGAAUCAUCUAGUCUUUGAACGCAAGUUGCGCCCGAGGCUUGACCAAGGGCAUUUCUGCCAGAGCGUCACC
rnacentral:rRNA from 1 species